rnacentral:rRNA from 1 species
CGUUGUUCGGAAUUACUGGGCGUAAAGCGCGUGUAGGCGGCUAUGCAAGUCGGAUGUGAAAGCCCUCGGCUCAACCGGGGAAGUGCACCCGAAACUGCAAAGCUAGAGUCUCGGAGAGGAUCGUGGAAUUCUCGGUGUAGAGGUGAAAUUCGUAGAUAUCGAGAGGAACACCGGUGGCGAAGGCGGCGAUCUGGACGAUGACUGACGCUGAGACGCGAAAGCGUGGGGAGCGAACCGG